rnacentral:rRNA from 1 species
GUGUCAGCAGCCGCGGUGAUACGUAGGGUGCGAGCGUUAAUCUGAAUUACUGGGCGUAAAGCGUGCGCAGGCGGUUUUGUAAGUCUGACGUGAAAUCCCCGGGCUUAACCUGGGAAUUGCGUUGGAGACUGCAAGGCUGGAGUCUGGCAGAGGGGGGUAGAAUUCCACGUGUAGCAGUGAAAUGCGUAGAGAUGUGGAGGAACACCGAUGGCGAAGGCAGCCCCCUGGGUCAAAACUGACGCUCAUGCACGAAAGCGUGGGGAGCAAACAGGAUUAGAUACCCUAGUAGUCC